rnacentral:lncRNA from 1 species
CCACUAAUGUAAUCUGUCCUCCUUCCCCCACUCCUCUACAGGGUUCCACACAUUCUGUUUGUUUGAUGCAGCAGCGAUGCUGCUUUCCUAUCAUGGCCAGUGUGCUGUCCUGAGGGUAAGACCAUGACCUAGAUGGCACUAAUGCUUCAUCGUCAUCAUGGUUGUCAUCGUGGUUAGAACCACUGCCAUCAUUAGUGUCACCAUCAUCAUCAUGUCUUCCUGGCUGAAGAAUACCUGCCAUGUAUUACACUGGUCUGUGGCUUUCAAUACCGAAUCAAAGACAACUUGACAAUAAAGACCUCUGACUUAGGCACCUGUUAGUUCUGUGUGUUAGUGGUGUGUGUUAGUGGUGUGUGUUAGUGCUGUGUGUUAGUGGUGUGUGUUAGUGGUGUGUGUUAGUGGCAUGUGUGUUAGUGGUGUGUGUUAGUGGUGUGUGUUAGUGGUGUGUGUUAGUGCUGUGUGUUAGUGGUGUGCGUUAGUGCUGUGUGUUAGUGGUGUGUGUUAGUGGCAUGUGUGUUAGUGGUGUGUGUUAGUGGUGUGUGUUAGUGGUGUGUGUUAGUGCUGUGUGUUAGUGGUGUGUGUUAGUGGUGUGUGUGUUAGUGGUGUGUGUUAGUGGUGUGUGUUAGUGGUGUGUGUUAGUGGUGUGUGUUAGUGCUGUGUGUUAGUGGUGUGUGUUAGUGGUGUGUGUUAGUGGUGUGUGUUAGUGGUGUGUGUUAGUGCUGUGUGUUAGUGGUGUGUGUUAGUGGUGUGUGUUAGUGGCAUGUGUGUUAGUGGCAUGUGUGUUAGUGGUGUGUGUUAGUGGUGUGUGUUAGUGCUGUGUGUUAGUGGUGUGUGUUAGUGGUGUGUGUUAGUGGUGUGUGUUAGUGGUGUGUGUGUUAGUGGUGUGUGUUAGUGGUGUGUGUUAGUGGUGUGUGUUAGUGGUGUGUGUUAGUGGCAUGUGUGUUAGUGGUGUGUGUUAGUGGUGUGUGUUAGUGGUGUGUGUUAGUGGUGUGUGUUAGUGGUGUGUGUUAGUGGCAUGUGUGUUAGUGGUGUGUGUUAGUGGUGUGUGUUAGUGCUGUGUGUUAGUGGUGUGUGUUAGUGGCGUGUGUUAGUGGCGUGUGUUAGUGGUGUGUGUUAGUGCUGUGUGUUAGUGGUGUGUGUUAGUGGCGUGUGUUAGUGGCGUGUGUUAGUGGCGUGUGUUAGUGGCGUGUGUUAGUGGUGUGUGUUAGUGCUGUGUGUUAGUGGUGUGUGUUAGUGUGGUGUGUGUUAGUGGUGUGUGUUAGUGGUGUGUGUGUUAGUGGUGUGUGUUAGUGGUGUGUGUUAGUUCUGUGUGGUAGUGGUGUGUGUUAGUGGCAUGUGUGUUAGUGGUGUGUGUUAGUGGUGUGUGUUAGUGGCGUGUGUUAGUGGUGUGUGUUAGUGGUGUGUGUUAGUGGUCUGUGUUAGUGCUGUGUGUUAGUGGUGUGUGUUAGUGGUGUGUGUUACUGGUGUGCGUUGAUGGUGUGCGUUGGGGGUGUGCGUUGGGGGUGUGCGUUAGUUGUGUGUGUGUGUGUGUGUGUGUGUGUGUGUGUGUGUGUGUGUGUGUGUGUGUGUGUGUGUGUGUGUGUGUGUGUGUGUGUACGUGCAACAUGAGUGUGCAUGUUUGUGGUUGCAAUCUGGUGCGUGUGUGUGUGUGCCGCUCUGUCUGUGUGUGUGUUUGAUUGUUAAACAGUGCAGAUCCUCUCCUCAUCCUCCAUUCCUUCUCUCUUUUAAACGCCUCUCCCUCCGUUGAAAAACUCAAACGCGGCGUUGGAAGCGGAGGAGAAACUUUUCAAAGGCUGUUGUUCCUCUCUGAUCAGUGAAUGGAGACGGCGGUAUGACAGCGGCUGUUACAAUCAAACCCUCACUCUCUGCCUCAGCCUCAUGUUUAUCUGCAGCUUGUCCUGGCAACACAUUACUAAAUACUGCUUCUUAUCUCACUGUAUCUAUCUGUCUGCCUCUCUCUCUCUCUCUCUCUCUCACUCCCUCUCUCUCCCUCUCUCUCUCUUUUGACCGGUGCUCUCUCUCUCUUUCUCUGUGUGCUCUCUGCACCCUCUCUCUUCCUCUCUGUCUUUUCCUCUACCCUAUCUCUCUCUCUUUCUUGAUCUGGGCUAUCUCUCUCUCUGUCUCUCUGUUUCUCUAUCUCUCUCUGUGUGUGUAC